rnacentral:rRNA from 1 species
GACGAGGGAUCCAGCGUUGUUCGGAAUCAUUGGGCGUAAAGCGGGUGUAGGUGGCUUUGUAAGUCGGGUGUGAAAGCCCAGGGCUCAACCCUGGAAGUGCAUUCGAUACUGCGAAGCUUGAGUGUAGGAGAGGUUACUAGAAUUCUUGGUGUAGUGGUGAAAUACGUGAGUAUACAAGAGGAAUACCGGAGGCGAAGGCGGGUAACUGGCCUAACACUGACACUCAGACCCGAAAGCGUGGGGAUCAAACAGG